CCUACGGGUGGCAGCAGUGGGGGAUAUUGCACAAUGGGGGGAACCCUGAUCCAGCGACGCCGCGUGGGUGAAGAAGCGCCUCGGCGCGUAAAGCCCUGUCAGCAGGGAAGAAAAUGACGGUACCUGAAGAUGAAGCACCGGCUAACUACGUGCCAGCAGCCGCGGGAAUACGUAGGGGGCAAGCGUUAUCCGGAUUUACUGGGUGUAAAGGGGGCGCAGUCGGCGAUGCAAGCCAGGAGUGAAAGCCCGGGGCCCAACCCUGGGACUGCGCUUGAAACUGCGUUGCUGGAGUGCAGGAGGGGCAGGCGGAAUUCCGGGUGUAGCGGUGAAAUGCGUAGAUAUAAGGAGGAACACCGGUGGCGAAGGCGGCCUGCUGGACUGCAACUGACGUUGAGGCGCGAAAGCGUGGGGAGCAAACAGGAUUAGAUACCCGAGUAGUC
rnacentral:rRNA from 1 species